rnacentral:RNase_P_RNA from 1 species
UGGCAGGCCGCCGUUUAAAAAACGGAGGAACUUCCGGACUCCAAGGGCAGAACGCCGUAUGAAAAUACGGGAGAGCGGGGCUAUAUCCCCGCCCGACGGAAAGUACAACAGAAAAAAUACCGCCCGUAAGGGUAAGGGUGAAAUGGUAAGGUAAGGGCUUACCGCGCAGAUGGCAACAUCUGCGGCAAGGCAAACCCCGUUCGGAGCAAGGCCAAAUAUGCCGAUAUACGGCCCGUAUGUUAAGGCAGAGUAGGCCGCACAGAUAAAUGGUCUGCACGCGUAAGCGGACAGAAUCCGGGGUAUAAUCCA